UGAGUACGAGAUGCUACGGCAUCGAAGCAGUCUAUGUCAUACUUCCAAGAAAAGCUUGCAAUGUCAUAAACAAAUAAUGCCUGUACCAUAACCGACACAGGUGGGUAGGUAGAGUAUACUAAGGGGCGCGAGAUAACUCUCUCUAAGGAGCUCGGCAAAAUGACUCCGUAACUUCGGGAGAAGGAGUGCCUUAUUUUUAUAAGGUUGCAAUAACAAGAUCCAAGCAACUGUUUACCAAAAACACAGGUCUCCGCUAAGUCGUAGGACGAUGUAUGGGGGCUGACGCCUGCCCAGUGCCAGAAGGUUAAAGAAGUUGGUUAGCAUUAGCGAAGCUGAUAACUGAAGCCCUGGUGAACGGCGGCCGUAACAAUAACGGUCCUAAGGUAGCGAAAUUCCUUGUCGGGUAAGUUCCGACCCGCACGAAAGGCGUAAUGAUUUGGAUACUGUCUCGGAGAGGGGCUCGGUGAAAUAGACUUGUCUGUGAAGAUGCGGACUACCUGCACCUGGACAGAAAGACCCUAUGAAGCUUUACUGUAACUUGAGAUUGAAAUUGGACUUUAUCUGCGCAGUAUAGGUGGGAGACGUUGAAAAUACUCUUGCGGGAAUAUUGGAGUCAUCAGUGAGAUACCACUCUUAUAAUGUUAGAUUUCUAACUUUGUAUCAUUAUCUGGUCAAAGAACAGUUUCAGGCGGGCAGUUUGACUGGGGCGGUCGCCUCCCAAACGGUAACGGAGGCGCACAAAGGUUUCCUCUGAACGUGUAGAAAUCGUAUCUAGAGUGUAAAGGCAUAAGGAAGCUUGACUGUGAGACCUACAAGUCGAGCAGGGACGAAAGUCGGUCUUAGUGAUCUGACGGUGCUGAGUGGAAAGGCCGUCACUCAACGGAUAAAAGUUACUCUAAGGAUAACAGGCUGAUCUCCCCCAAGAGUUCACAUCGACGGGGAGGUUUGGCACCUCGAUGUCGGCUCAUCGCAUCCUGGGGCGGUAGUACGUCCCAAGGGUUGGGCUGUUCGCCCAUGAAAGCGGUACGCGAGCUGGGUUCAGAACGUCGUGAGACAGUUCGGUCCAUAUCCGGUGUAGGCGUUAGAAUAUUGAGAGGAGCCUUCUUUAGUACGAGAGGACCGAGAAGGACAUACCUCUGGUGUACCAGUUAUCGUGCCAACGGUAAACGCUGGGUAGCCAUGUAUGGAGAGGAUAACCGCUGAAAGCAUCUAAGUGGGAAGCCCACCUCAAGAUAAGUAUUCCC
rnacentral:rRNA from 1 species